AAUCUAUAAAAGAAACUCAAGUAAAAUAUUUAUGCAGAAAUCUGCAAUAAGUAUUCGGAGAUGGUCAUGGGCAGAAGUAUAUAUAAAAUAUAAAUUCCAGACGAAACAUCUUCGUUUAGAAAGCUGUGACAGACGAUACAUCAAAGAAUAGUACGAACAAUUAUACUGGACUAGAAGAUAAAAGGAGAUACGGUCCCGUAUCGGAAACGUACGAGAACAUCGUUAUCGGGUUCGCGAAUCUGGCGACCUGUGAACCUGGCAGAAAUCCAGAACCCGCGUCACUGCACCGGUGCGGUAAAAGAAAGCCCGCGACACGGGCGAUAAUCAUCGUAAACGUUGUCGAAAUUGUCCUCUUUUGUCGACGAAACCUGAAACCUCGAAUGAAUCGAGAAGCAAAACUCGACGCUUCUCUGACGUCAAGAAACUACAGUGGUUUUCAACGUUCGAAUACAUAACGUGCCAUACGAGGAAUAAUUUUUGAAGAACGAGUAAUUCGUUAAUUAACGAGUCGUUGAGCCAAUUUACACGCGUGUACGAAUUUUCUAGUGAGAGAACAAUGAUUCGUGUGGACAGACACAUAUUAGAGGUUGCGAGGUCGAUCACGUUGAUUCCGUACGCAGGCUGUGCACCCUGGCGAGUACGCAUUGUCCCGUGGCACGUCCUGCUCGUAGAUCGAUCCAGUCUUUGGUACACGAACGACGAGGCUUCAUAGAGAGCAAUGUGUUUAACACGUUGACUACCACGCGAAUUUUAUAUAUUUUGUCCUGAGGGCCACGACAGUUUGAAAUAUGCUACACAGUAACGUUCAAUUUUUGUCAAAUAUUAUAUCGUAUUUGCGCACACUUUGCCGAGUAUUGCUAAGUCAUUCACAUUGUGGAACAUCUUUUUGUCCAUGAAAUUUAUCAUGUUGUACACGUUGUAUAAGUAAGCACCGAUGACCAUCGCGACAGUCAACGUGCUAAUGGGAUUUUGCUAUUAAGGUGAACAAAUCGACGAUAACAUGAAGUUGAAAUUUGGUGUAAGCUGAUCUUUGGAGAAUUUCUAAUUUUAUGGAUUGCAUGCUUGAAACUGAAAACAACGAGUCACGGUGAAACUCGACUAAAGAUUCUAUGCUUGAAAUUGUGUAAUAGCAACCCUUUCUUCUCUGGGGAUUUUUGAGAUGAAUUCGAAGAUCCGGAAUGAAAGAGGAAUUCGUGAAAUCGACGGGAAUUUCGAGCCUCCUUGACCCUCGGUGACCCAAAUAUUUUCGCUCCUGACAGAGGCUGAUGCAGAAUUGCGGCAGACCCGUGGAAACGUUCGGUCGUUCCCUUUUGUCCGCAUCACCUUCAAAAGGAUCAUUCUAUCUCGCGAUAGAAUGACAAAUCGUCGCCGACGUGUCUUUAAUUCGUCAAAAGUUUCUUACAUCCGAUAGACCACAGAGAAUAUUCUCUGUUCUAUCUUUGAUGAAAUCGUUCUCAAACGAAUAGUACGAUUAAAGGAGCGAAGAAUUCAAAUUAAUGGAAGAGCCAAACGACGGAAAGAGAGAGACAGGCAAACUCUAUUUAAUUAUACUAGAUUAUAUCAUAUAGAGUAUAAAAGAUCAGUACGCAGAGGAGUGACGAUUUCUAAUUUCUGACAGGUAGCUGCAUCCUGACCUAUCCAACGAACGCUUCCCAACAGCGUCUCUAGAGGUUAGCCCACCGAUUGAUCCACGCGCUCCACUUCUCUACUCCUCUACUCAACGCAACUCCGUCGCAUCUACGAUUCAAAAGGGACCUUACGACUGUGAUAGAAACCGCCACGACUCUACCACCGUCACGGCGUCUCUCCUGACCUUGCUCCUCAACCUUCCACAACGUUUGUUUCGUCCCUUGGUAUAACUCAAUCCACACGCCUCCGUUCAUCAAUCGGUCGAACGUACCGGAGCGGUCCACUCGCAGGAAUUCCUUUUACCAAACCACCGACGUAAAUACGACUCGAGCUCUUCCACCUACCGAUCAAACAAUUUCAACGAAAUAUCUUCGAGCCUUUGCACGACUAUCAUUGCACGGAACCAACAGCCAAUACCGAAAGAAGGUAUUCGUAUAUUGGAAAAACGUGGCAGAAAGGAAAGGAAAGGAAAAGAACUGUAAGGAGUAGACGAGUAGCGAGAAGAGGGCCUAAAGGGAGGGAAAAAGAGAAAGGGAGAGUUUGGUGGCGCACCACGCGACCGCAACGAUCAUUCCAAGAGCAGACAUUGUGGACAUCGUGUAUACGACUAAAAAUGGACGAAUCGAAUCUGGUGUGUCGAUCGUACCGAUGUGAAUACGUAUUCCAAGUAGGUUGAUCUUCUCGGAAGGCGUUAUCUUCGCUGGUUAAGUAGGGUGGUUCCGUCCAUCGCGUUUCUGGAUCGUAUCGCCCUAAGGAUCGAUCGUAGUCGGGUGCACACGCGCUGACCGGUUGUGGUACGCGUUCGGGAAACGCGUCCCGGACACGUUUCGCCUAUAGUUCGACUA